rnacentral:lncRNA from 1 species
UUGUAGGUGAAAUUGGUUUAAGUAUUCCAAUCCUACAACAAACAAGUUAUGAUUUCACUUGUUUUCUUCAUUUUAGAUCUCUUUAAAACUUGUAAGAAUUUAUUGCUUAUAUGCUCAAAUAAUGUUUGUUUGUCUCUUUAACAAUCAUUUUGUUUUCAUUUGCCAGGCGGUGCUUCUUAAAAUGGCCAAGUUUUGCUUGGCUAACAAAUGUUGUAGCCUUAUUGCUCCAUAUUAGCAAUAGGAACUGUUAUAGUAUUUGAUUAAUGUAUUGUUUGAGUUCUCGGCAAAAUCUUUUACCUUUUGAUGUUGAUUGUGAGUAAAUUGUCUUGUUAUUUUUCACUAGAUCGGUAUUUGUUACUCUAGGAUUAGGACUUUGGGUUAUUGCCUCUAGUCCUUUAGGUUUUUUAAGGAUUUGUUACUUUGUGUUAUACAGAGAUUGUUAUUUUCGGUUUAUGGUUUUCAACGGGUGCCCUCACGGUCCGCUUGUCUUUGCUCAUAUCGAAUUUAUUUGUUGUAACACUUUUCAUCUGUUUAUUGUACCUUUGGUGAUUCACUACCCUACUUUGUUCAAAAUAGUAUUUUUGUGCUUUAUUUUAUUUUCACAUUUUGUUAUAUCACCGACUAAAUUACUGAAUUCUCAUUCAUGACUUUGGUCACGUUUUUUAGAUAUCUUGUUG